CCGGACCAGCCUAUCCCGCUGACCGCAGCUCGCAGCCCGGCAGACCCCCCGGAGGUCUCCGGGUACAACCUGCCUCCCGGCACACUUUGGAUGGCGUGAACUGGAGUGUCUAUGCAAAUAUAUAUGUACAGGACUGGGAUCUUGCUGUGCACUCUGUCGUUUUUCAUUGCUCUGUGGGACCAGGGAUUCCCACCAGGAGUCCAUGGCAUAAAAAAGAUGGGACCCCUGCUCUAUACAACAAAACAACAUUUGGAAUAUUGAUAGAUUUCACAGCCUGUUGCUGGAAAACGAAUGACACCAACACUUUUUCAUCCAAGUAUGGA